rnacentral:rRNA from 1 species
CCCUUAGAUGUUCUGAACCGCACGCGCGCUACACUGAACAGUUCAACAAGUCUUAACCUUGGCCGAUAGGUCUGGGUAAUCUUUGAACGCUGUUCGUGAUUGGGAUAGACCUUUGCAAUUAUGGGUCUUCAACGAGGAAUUCCUAGUAAACGCAAGUCAUCAGCUUGCAUUGAUUACGUCCCUGCCCUUUGUACACACCGCCCGUCGCACCUACCGAUUGAAUGGUCCGGUGAAAUCUCGGGACGGCGGCUUGGUCGCUUGCGUCCGACUGCUGAAACUUGAUUAAACCAUAUCAUUUAGAGGAAGGUGAAGUCGUAACA